GAGGGAAUAUUGGUCAAUGGGCGAAAGCCUGAUACCAGCCAAGCCGCGUGCAGGAUGACGGCCCUAUGGGUGGUAAACUGUUUUAUAUACGGGAAUAAAGUGAGGGACGUGUCCCAUUUUUCGUACUGUACCAGUAUGAAUAAGGACCGGCCUAAUUCCGUG
rnacentral:rRNA from 1 species